rnacentral:rRNA from 1 species
CCCCCCCUCUGUGUAUUGAAUACCUUAUAAGUAAAUCUAAUAAACUAUUAUUUACAAUGCUGUCUGAUUUGUAACAAAAAAAUAUAAAAGUUAAAACUUUCAACAACGGAUCUCUUGGUUCUCGCAUCGAUGAAGAACGCAGCGAAAUGCGAUAAGUAGUGUGAAUUGCAGAAUUCAGUGAAUCAUCGAAUCUUUGAAUGCACAUUGCGCCUUCUAGUAUUCUGGGAGGCAUGCCUGUUUGAGCGUCAUAAAAACAUUCUCAAGUAUUUUACUUGGACAUGAAGGAAGAGCAUCUUUUUAAGAGAGAGGUUCUCCUUUGAAAUUGAUUAGCAGAUGGUAUAAAAUCCUAAUGUUAUAAAGAUAUUAAACACAUCUUUUGAAUUGGGAUUUUAUAAAAAAAAUAUCAUCUAAGCUUCAAAUCUAUUUAUUGGCAUAUAUAUAAUGUGUGACAGUAAUUCUUUUUUAUAGUUGACCUCAAAUCAGG